AUGACUUUGGAUUAAUUUGAAGAGAAGCGUGGAGGAUCCGGGGUGGAUGCCUGCAGCUGCAUAACAAGGCCUGUUGUUGAAGACGAGCUUUGAUUACUUCAUAGCGCCUCACUGAAGCCCCCGAUACUGAUGAACAUACAGAAACACAUGGCAUUUGACAUCGAUGAUGACAUAACCGCAAUGCACUAUGUCUAAUUUGGCAUUAACUUUUACAUAUAGUGUUACACAGUGAGAUACAUUUGUGACAUGCAGAUUUGCAUGGAGCUGAGAAAGAUAAAUGGGGUUGAAAUCAGGAAUUCUACUGAUGUAAUGCUCAGGGAGUGCGAUUCACAUGCAGGGAUUAGAUUUCGUUCGCGUCGGUGUGAAGGGAACCAUCUGAUGAGGCUUUGAUGUCGUGCGAGGCGAGCUAUGUCUCCCGCCAAAUCUCACGCCAUUCAUAUGUUUGUCAGAUGAAACGAAAGCUGUAAUAUGAAAUACAAAUGCGAAACACCCAAAAUUAACAAAAAAAAAUUAAAUAGUGAGCUCUAUAACCAACAUGUAAAGCACCUAAAAUUUCGGAAGAAAUCUGUAGCAGCUGUUUUCACUUUUUGUCCAUGAGACCUCUUUGGCUUUUGUCCCAGAUAUGCAAAGAGUGGGAGUUUGAUUAAAUCCUAACCGGAACCUUUUUUUUCAUCACCUGGUUAAUUGUGUCGGAUUAUGUCCAACACGUCAAUUAUAACAAAUAUUUCCCUACCAAUGACAAACAUAAGCGUUUGCAUUAGAUUUACCAAGGAAACUAAAGAUAUAUUAUCUUAGUUACAAAUUUAUUGCUUUGCAAGUCAACAUAGAAGAUUUAUUUUGAAUUCACUUAUUGUUUUCUAUGCCUGCCAAUUCUCAGGCUUUUUUUUCUAUACAUGUGUACUUCGUCAGGAUCACUCAGCCAGUAAUCCAAUCAAGUGCUGCACACAUUGGGGUCCCUAGGGUUCAAGAGCCACGCGAGAUCGAGGAAGAAGCAGAGGAAGAGGAGGGUGCAGCAACUCUUCACGGAUCUCACCAUCCUAGGAAACAAGACAUCGCAGAACUUGUAAUUGAAAGAUUGCAGCUCCCAGGCAGACAGAACUCCAGGAAGGUCUGUCUUCUCCCUGCUUAUUUACAGCACUGGACGAGCACUGGAUGAGCACUGGAGGAGCACUGAAGCAGCUCAUGGCCCACAGUAAAAAGCCUGGACUGCAAGCAGCCAGAUUCUCCUGGGCUAAGAGUCACAGAACAGUUCAUUUCCCAGGCUGUGGAGAUGGAAAAACAAAGCUAACUGCCAUGUUAGUGAGCUGGAUGUGGCUCCACUGUGCUGCUGCACCAAAUGAAAUCACAGCGACGGCACGACGACCCCCCCCCCCACUGCCUGUAAGGGGCUCCAAACUUUGCUGAUUUUGGCUCUUCAGCAAACUCAGUUUAAUGAUCGUUUGGCCCCCAUGACCACUCAUCCCAACCUUUUAAAAAGGAACAAAGUGACAUCACUCCGACAGGGAAGUUCAGCGAAAAUCCAUUUCUGUUCUUUUUCAAGACGCGUUACGUGAGGCACAAGUUCAGCACACAGGCAGGGUUUUGUUAGUACUACUGGACUGGUGAGGUUAUGCCUGGAAAAAACUGUACCUAGGUUAGUUUCCAGGCAUACAUAAACUGUUAUUGGACUAAUAGAACUAACAUAACACACCAGCCUAGAAGUACAUAAAUCAGUAAGUAAAUCUCUAAAAUUCAGAUACUUCUUCAUAACCUCCUGAAAACUCAGUGGCAGGCGGUGUCAAUAAUUGCUGGUAUGUUCCUUAAGUUCCCCCCCCCCGAGACACGGAGAGUAAACAUGCUCUCCCUUCCAAACACAUGAAGGCACACAGACCGUGCACUGGACAGGGCUGCCAGCUACAGUCUUUAAACCAGAUGUCUGAGUCAUGCAGACAUUAUGAAAGCCACCUUUGAUAGAAGUGUGUGUAUAUAUAUAUAUUGGAGUCAUGAUAUGUGUAUUAAAGUGAUUUAGAUAAUAGCACACAGAGAGACACGUGGAACCGUAAAAAGCCAACAGAAACCCAGCUGAAGAGGAUGUAGAAUUACUCUGCACAUGCAAAGCAGCUUCCCCUCACUCUGUGAUUGUAAUUGUCCUGUGUUGGACUAUUUUUUUUAAUCCAGCUGUGUGGAACAGUCAUUAUGACUGCAAGCUGAAUACUCAAAGAGCUGAGCUGAGGUCCUCAUUCUCCUCUGAAGAGUAUUAUCCCAGAUAAUAUAAAUGAAAUCAUCCAAUGCAUCAAUAACAUUAAUAAUAAUCAAUAUUUAAUUAAUCAAGCAUGAUAUUAUAUUAUGAUAUUAUGGAAUAUAAUAUAUGUAAGUUCACUGUAAUACUGUUAUAAUACACUGAUUCUACAAACCAUA